rnacentral:misc_RNA from 1 species
AAAAGUAAGCAUUAAUUGCACAAGAGAUUGAAUCAAAAUAAAAGUCUCGAAUUUUAUCGAACCAAAAUCAAAAUACCACCAUAGUCAAGUUGAUUUGCUAACCCUAAAAAAAGAGAUUUAGCUUAACACAUUUUCAAUUAACUCAAAAGAAGUUGAAGAGAUAAAAUGACCCAUAAUGUAAAUUCUUGCAUAGAAAAUAAAACAAAGAAAG